UAAAAAUAUCCAUUAUUAUAUCGAUAAGUUAAGAAAAUAUCGACAGCAAAAUCCAAAGAAUUUCGAUUACAAAAUCUCCGUGUGCAAUUUCCGUUGAAUUUGCAAAUUUACUCCCAACCAACCAUCCGCCGCCAUCGAAGUUUCACUUAAAAAAAUUUAACUCGAUUUUCGGAUUCACCGAACAAUUCUACAUACGAAUUGAAUAGUGGCAUCUAUAGAACAUUUUUGCUGUAAACCAGUAUUAUUUAGCAGCAUCGGGGAGUAAGGGUUUCCAAAGGCGUAUUCAUUCGAACCCUACACGAUUUAGUAUUCCUCAUUUCAUUCGGAAGUGCUGCUUUUGUACUAAUUUGCGAAAAGCCACUAGAACUUAGUAGAGUGGCUGAGUCAUUCUAUGCCUUACAGGAAUUUUCAAAGGAUUCAUUAAAAAUCGAAGAUAUGUUUUUAAGUUACAUUCUUGAAAAUCCAGUAUGCAUAAAUUUUUUAAAAUGAGUAUCAGAAGCUAAUAAAGGUGACAUACUUUUUUAACAUCAGUUUAUUUCUUCCAUUUCAGGUACGUACUCAACUUUUCUGCAAAAAAAUAUUUAACUUCAUUCUCACUGCAAAUUGUCAAUCUCAAGUCCUGGAUUAUUGGAUAUGUAUGUUUCCUAGUCCAGAAAUGCAAACAAGGGAAGCAUAAUAUAUUCGAAUUAAACUGAUUGAAAUUAAUUAAAAAUUGUAAAAAAAAAAAAAAAAAA